AUGGACGCUGGCGGCGGGGGCUUAGGCGGGUUCCAGUGGACCGCGGAGGAGGCUUCGACGAUCGGGGGCAUCGCGACGGUGUCGCUGCUGCACUCCUUCAUCCCCACGCACUGGCUCCCCUUCUCCAUCGUCGGGCGCGCCCAGCGCUGGCCGCUCUCCCGCACCCUCCUCGUCACUGCAUUUGGAGCAGUCCUUCAUGUUGUAUCAACCGCUCUUCUCGGGAUAACUGCAGUUACUAUGGCAAAUACUAUAGCAGGCGAGGAAACAGUGCAUAAACUUGCCUCGCUGUUGCUAAUAUUUCUUGGAGCAGGUUACAUUCUGUUGUUUGCGUUAGGAAAAGGUGGUCAUAGCCAUGCCCAUAAUCAUCCAAUGGAGAAGAUGGCAGUCGCUGGUCUUGUACUUGUACCAGCAUUAUCACCCUGUGCAACUACUCUUCCAGUGUUUCUUGCUGUUGGCAACUCAUCCUCGAUGAUGAUUCUUGCGAUCAUUGUACUUCUCUUCAGUACCAUCACGGUGAUGACGUCCCUGGUGGCUCUCUCAUUUUAUGGUGCUAGCCAGAUCAAGUUUCACUGGGUGGAACGCUAUGACAAGGUCCUAGUUGGCUCAGUACUGUGCCUUGUUGGGGUUCUGACAUAUGUGUUCCAUCACCACGAUGGUGACGAGCAUUCUCUCCAUGCACACGUGCACAGGAAACUUGUGGGUCCUUAG
rnacentral:rRNA from 1 species